rnacentral:lncRNA from 1 species
CAAAAGGCAUUGGACUCUUGGUGGUUCCAUGAGAGGCUCAGCUCUAUAGAAUCCCUUUCUUGUGUCUCUAAACUCUCCAGGCUGUGCACACUGAGACAGAGUUGCUUUGCCCAACCUUCGCCCUAACCUGCACAAGUUCUGAACCCCUGUCUCUGGAAGGUUAACUUGGAAAAGUUUGGUGUAUUUUUCAAAUUGCAGGCUGUGACUUAUUAGUGGAUUAUGAAAUCUAGUUCUCACAAAUGAGUAAUUUGAAAAAAAAAGAAUAGUAUAGAAAGUAUCAUGGUACAUCACUUAAAGUAACUAGAAGUACUAUUUUUGGAAAUUUUAUUUUGUGGAGGUGUGUGUGUUGGGGGGUGGCAGUGCUGGGUAGUGUCUUUUGUCAUAUUCCCUAGAAGCAGAGCUCCAGAAGAGGAUUUGGGUGGAUGUUGUGAUCUCUUUAAGGCAUGCUCAAAAAAAAAGGAAGCCUUAUCCCCUGGAAAGUUCUGAAGCUUGAAUUGUACCAGAGUUGGUGCUACUUGAGACAAGGGUAACUCCUGAACCCCCAUGUCAACAGCCAGUCACUCUCUAUAUGGAGCUCUGAGGAAGAGGGGUACAUAACCUUCUGGAAAGGCAGCUCCUGUUUAGCCAAGGGUAAAUCUCUAGAGAAGGAGGCAGCUGUGACUUUGAACAGCCAACACUCAGCAUCUGGGGAUGGGUAUACCAGCCAGCAUGGGGUUACUAUUUGUGUCCAUUUCAGGGAAUGAUAUAAAAUGCACUUCUCUUAGUGUGGUUCAUGGUAAUAAAAUAUUUGAGAAACACUGGUUCAGAAGCAUUUAGUCCAUCAACCUGUGGGAAAGAAAAUGAGGCCUUCAGCACCACCUUUUCCUCAUUUCAUUAGACAAAGGCAAAUUCCCACAUGUAAAAGGAAUGUUAUCCCCAUGAGAGAAGACGUGCCACCAUGAAAGGAAGCAAAAUACAGAGAAUGUUUUUAAUGCUUUAAGCUUAAGCCUUAAGGCCCCAGCAACCAUCUAAGGAGUCUUUAGAGCUGUGUUUCCUGAUUGGGAGUGAACCACCCUGAAGGUGUGGGCUAUUAGGGGGACCUUGAAACUGUGAAAUAAGCAUGACACAUAUUCAUCAAGCCUUAUUAAUGGAGCUCAGUUAAAUAUUUUAAAACUUUCUUUAUGAAUAUAAUAUAGAAUGAAAUAUAAAAGUCACAUGAAUUUUGAAGAUGAAGAAUAAAGUUACAAAGAGAUUUCAGAUUUCAGAUCAUCCCUUUGCACCAUGCUCCCAGACUCUUAGAGGUUCUUGUUCAUUGACCUCUGCAGUUAGACACUCCAGGAGAAAACGAGGAAAAGUGUCAGAGUAAUUAUUCUUCUCCUUUCAGGAGGGACCAAUUAACAUGAAAAGCUGAUUCCCCAAGUCCUCCAGGAUCUGAGCAGUUUGCUGGGAGCUGACAUUCAUCCAGCCAACAGUCUCAGUCACCAAUCCUAAACCACCAGAACGUUAUUAAGAGCACCAGCUAGGCAUUAGUGAUGGAGAUGACAUGGUGAAUGAGACAGACAGUCCUGCCUGAUAGGCUGUGCUGGUCGGGGAAUUCAGACCAAAUCAAGUAAAUAAUGCAGUGUCAUUAGAGCAGCUCAAACCCUUCUGGUUUUCUGCCUUUCGAGCGCCUAUUAGGAGUGCAGUGGCAGGGGUCCCAGGUGGGUCAGUGGGACAUUGAUGAGUUCUGGCCAGUGAAUCAUGACUGGAAGUGAUGUGUGUUCCCUCUGAGCCAAGUAAGUGGUUAAUGUAAGGUCCCCCUGGAGCUCUCUCUCCCCUCUGGCACAGUGACCAGCUAAGUGCUCCACAUGUGGCUGCUCCAUCAGCGGGUCCCUGAGCUGAGCAUCGCAGCUGAUGCCACAGACAGGUGGAGUGAAAAAGUAAUAAACUCUUGCUGUUUUAAGCUCCUGAGAUUUUGAGGUUUUUAUUACUGUACCAUAGAUUAUCUUGACUGAUAAAAAGCAAUAAAAUAAAAUCUUAUAAAUAUAACUGCUGUGAAUAAUAUGAAUAUGUUGCUAAUAGAAGAGGUAGGGAAUGGUUUACACGGCCAGGGAGUGCUUCUGUGAUGAUAGGAAAUUUGAGCUGGGAUCUAAUAGAUCAAGGUAAUUCAUAUUUCCAUAAUUGUUUUGCUUUAUUUUUGGACAGGAGUAAAGUAGCCCUAGAAUCACGGGGCCAGACAGGCAGGAAAAAGUAAGGGCAUAGACUUGCAGGAAGUCACACAUCUAAUGGGUGUUAAGGUGAGAGCUGUAACUUUGGCAUGUGGACAUGGGUCCAGGCCCUCUAUGGUAGGGCUGCAACUAAAGUGGGGCAGGUGAGGUGCCAAGGGUACGACACUGAAGGCUGCUCUCUGGCCCACCCUACACUUUCAUCCUUGAGAGUGCCUCCCUAGAAGUUGUGCCCUAUGGGGCCCACCCUUAAGGAGGCACUUAUUUAUCAGGAUCAUGCAAGGCAAAGCUGACACCUGGGAGUGAGUGCCUACUUAAAAUGUGGCACCCUAAGCACCUCUCUUGCCUCACCCUAGUCCUAGCUCUGCUCUGCACCAAUGUUCUCAGUAACAGUAACAUAUAAGCACAUAGCUUUGGGUGGUUGUGGCUGUGUCCUUGGCUUUCUGAUGUUAUCUGAAAUAGUUUUACCGUCAUGGGGACCAUGUGACAGAAAACAAGGCACUUCAAGGCAGGCUGCCAAGAUUUAGCCUCUUUUCAGAGUCUUUGGUGGAUAACCAAACAAGGAGACCAGGGAGUGAGAUUUGGGGAGUUUUAGGAAGGGCUGCAAGCUGACUGGGACCCAUCUUCCCCCUCAGUGCAGAACAAGCCUUUCUUCCACUCUGAAAAUGUAGUUCACCUGCAUAGAAGGAAUUUGAUGAAGUACAUUCUCAGCAAGGUGUCUGUGGCUAACUGCACCCUCUUUUCCUGGAAGCAGGUUUGGGGCAAGAACAUAGGAGAGAGCAGCUGACAGCUAACAGCUUGUAUAUGUGGAUCACGGCUACAUUAUGAAGGUGGCUUGAUCAUUGCCACUUUCCAGAGAAAGAAACUGUCUCUGAGUCUAAGGAACUUACCCAUUUGAACACAAGUCUACCUCUUACCUGCUUGAGGAUAAGCAUUAGCAGAAAGGGUAAAAGGUGGUGACUAGAAGUGAUAACCUGGAGGAGAGGACAGAUAAUAGAAAGGAGACAAAGCCACCUACUUUACAAGGUAUUCUUAACCUGGGCCACCCCUGAUUUUUGUAUAAAAUUUCACAAAGCCUCCACUUCCCAGAUCAUUGUUCUUAGGUAUUUUCUAACCAGACUGUUGAAGAAGUGGGUGUGUAUUAAACAAAACCCAGAAUUUGUGCAGACCUUGGGCAUAUAGAGAGUCUCUACUUGGCCAUGUCUUUUCUCCCCCCCCCCCCAGUUUGACAAGGUAUAAUUUACAACCCAUGAAAUUCACCAGUUGCAAGAGUCGAGCUGAUGAUUUUUAGUACUUUUAUAUAAUUUGAAGCCAUUAUCACUUCUAUAAUCCCUGCAUUUCCCUGUUGUGGCUAUUUGUGAUCAUUCCCCUUUCCUAUCCCCAGCUCCAGGUAAUCACUACUUUCUGUAUCUAUAGUUUUGCCUUUACUAGAUAGAUGGGAUCAUACCUAUGUAGCCAGUUGUAUUUGGUUCUGUCACAUCAAGGAAUGUUUUUGAGAUUCAAUCAUGCUCUUGCUUUUAUCAGUAUUACUCUGUAAUAUUGCUGCAUUCUUAUGCCCUUGUAUGGAUAGACCAUAUUUUAAUUAUCCACUCACCAGAUGAUUAUUGUUGCCACGGUUGGGAUGUUUUGACUAAUGCUGAUGUGGACAUUCACGUACUUGUCUUUGUGUUGACAUAUAUUUUCAUUUCUCUUGGGUAUAUACCUAGGAGUGUGUCGCUGGAUGGUAUGGUGAGUGUAUGUUUACCUGUUAAAGAAACUGCUAAACUUUUUUCCCCAAAGUUGCUGUAAUCAUCUUAGAUUCCCACCAGCAAUGAGUGCAUGAAUAUUCCAAUUUCUCCACAUCCUUGUGAACACUUGGUAUCAUCAGACGUCUUGGUUAUAGUCAUUUUAGUGAAAGCAUGCUGAAAACUUAUUAUGGCUUUAAUUUGUAUUUCCCUAAUCCAGGGAACCCUUCCAUGUGCCACAGGUGUGGCCCCAAAAAGACAAUAAAUAAAUAAAUAAAUAAAUAAGUACUUCCGAAUGUCUGAACCAGGUGUUUCUUAUUGGCUCUGGUCUACCACAUCUGUUCCUUGACUCAGUAGAAGUGCAGUUGUUUGGCGUCAUUGUUUAUACAGUUGAAGCCACCCGAGCCCAUCCAUCCACAUUUCUUCUAGCUAACUAGCUUUGGCUUCUCUUUUUCCCAGAGGCUGUCUGUGCCCCUGCUAGCCCUCAAACUCCUUCCCGACACUAAUGUCCUGGACAUAGUACUUGCCACUUGGUAUUGAACACUAUGGCUUUGAAAUCAAGGGCAGGCUGGGAACAUGUAGUUGGGUGGAUUUCCCAGAGGAUGCUGGAGGGAAAACAGCUGUCGACUUCCAUUUCAAUUUGUCAAGGAAGGCAGCUGGAAUUGUUAGGCCAUUCAGUUUCCUGGGAUCUCUUGGGGGAGGACAGGGCAGAGGGACCUCCCAGGAAAGGAUGGGCCAGAGGAACCCCAAAAUCGUAAUUCUUACUUAAAAUGCUUGCAGAACUGAUGGUUUAUCAUCUCAUAGUUUUAGCCCAAUUGUAAUAUCUAUUUUUGGAGAGUUCCCAUAGUGGCGCAGUGGAAAUGAAUCUGACUAGGAACCAUGAGGUUGCAGCUUCCAACCUUGCUCAGUGCGUUAAGGAUCCGCCGUUGCUGUGAGCUGUGGUGCAGGUCACAGACAAAGCUUGGAUCUGGCAUUACUAUGGCUGUGGUGUAGGCUGGCAGCUGUAGCUCCAAUUAGACCCCUAGCCUGGGAACCUCCAUAUGCUGCGAGCGCGGCUCUAAAAAGACCAAAAAAAAAAAA